rnacentral:lncRNA from 1 species
AGCAGCCACUGAGGGUGGUAUCGGGGCGCCCCUUCCCCUGGCAGCGUAUUUCAGCCCCCAGAAACAUCCCCCACCUCGGCCAUCCCCAGCGCCUUUGCAGGGACAGCAGCACAACCAUAGCAGAGGUCUUGGGCACCCUGGGAAUAAUGUGCUGGUGUAAAUGUUGGAUUGAGAAAUGAAAAAGCAUUUGGGAUCAAUCUGGGGCCCUCUCGUUUGACACGGGAGGAAACACCAGGCCGCAGCGUUGGGGGAAGCUGCUUCCUUUCUCUCUCUUGUUUCUCUUUCUCUCUCAGGUGCUUCCUUUCUCUCUUCUCUCUCUCUCUCCCUCCUUGUGGCUAGGUGAUCUGGCUCAGACGCUCUCUCUCUUUCUCAGGUGCUUCCUUUCUCUUCUCUGUGUAUGUGUGUGUGUGUGUCUCUCUCUCCACUUCUCCCCCUUUCUCCCCCUCCUUGUGGCUAGGUGAUGUGGCUCAGACUCUCUCUCUCUAUCUCUUUCUCUCUCUCUCAGGUGCUUCCUUUCUCUCUCUCUUCUCUCUCUCUCUCUGUCUCUCUUCCUCCUUGUGGCUAGGUGAUCUGGCUCAGAAGUGCACGUUGGUCCGCGCCUGCGGGGAGCUGAAAAGCAAAAGAAUGGACCUGUGCACGUGUCAAGCAAGGUUUGGCCUGCUUUGAAGACAGUGAUUUCAGAGCCACUCCGGCCUCUACGUCACAAGCAAGCAUCACGGCAGUGGUGGGGCGGCAGGUGAUCCUGAGACCUCCUAUGCCAUCUCUUUGGCCCCGGUGCUUCUGGCACUCAUUCUCGCUCCUGCCGCCCGUGAAGAGACGCCUUCCGCCAUGAUAUUCACUCUAAGCACGGAUAAGUAAGAGUAUCACACAGCAUCAGCAGCAACAGAGCAGCUGGAAAGGAAGGAAGUUCAUCUCCCAGGUCUCUAACCCGACUUCCAAGGCCCAGCCCAGUGCCUGGUUCACAGAAGGAAUUCACUGUUUCUACUUAUGUUGAAUGUCUGUUGUGCAUAUACAAACUGAAAUAUUCAAACUAGAA